rnacentral:lncRNA from 10 species
GCUCACUGCAACCUCCGCCUCCUGGGUUCAAGCGAUUCUCCUGCCUCAUCCUCCCAAGUAGCUGGGAUUACAGGCGCAUGUUACCACGCCCAACUAAUUUUUUUUUUUGUAUUUUUAGUACAGAUGGAGUUUCACCAUGUUGGACAGGGUAUUUUCAAACUCCUGACCUCAGAUGAUCUGCUCACCUCGGCCUCCCAAAGUUCUGGGAUUAUAGGCGUGAGCUACCAUGCCUGGCCUAGCCAUUGUAAUAGAUGUGUAGUGGUAUCUCAUUGUUUAGUGCUUUUUUUUUUUUACAGGGUCUUGCUCUGUCACCUAGGCUGGAGUGCAGUGGUGUGAUCACAGCUCACUGGAGCCUCGACCUCCUGGGAUCAAGCGAUUCUCUCACCUCAACCUUUGAACUUCUAGAUAAGUGGUUCUCAAAGUGUGGUCCUUCAACCAACAGCAUCAUCACCACCCAGGAACUUAUUAGAAAUGGAAGUUCUUGCACCCUGCCAAAACCAGAAACUGCGGAUGGGUCCCAGCAAUCUUUAUUUUAACGACUGUUAAAAUCAGAAUCAAGUGAUUCUGAUGCAAACUUAAGUUUGAAAACAUUGUUCUAUUAAAAGUAAUGGCAAAAACCGCAAUUACUUUUGCACCAACCUAAGAGCUCUGCACUGUUCAAUAUGGUAGCUUCUAACUAUUGAAUUUUUUAAUGCUAUUAUCUCCUUUAUUCAAAAAUAAAUAUUUCACUUUGAUUCAACAUAUUUCAAAUUACAUUAAGCACAGAGAGGAAAUACAUUCCCUUUGGAGAUUGUGAACACGUGUUGGAAAGAGGCAUGAUCCAAAUAAUGGGGAUGAGGUGAGUGUGGAUUCCAGCUGCUUCCUGACCCAGAAGUUCUGCCCCUCUUCAGGUGGAGCUACUUAUCGAUUUUUAGGCGAGAAAAAGACAGACACACACACACACACACACACACACACUGCUUUGAAGUCUGAAAGGCAUAUGAGUGGACCGUAAGGUAUAUGGCACGUUCACUGAUAAAACAUCCCCUACUCCCUCCCAAGAAAAG